rnacentral:snRNA from 1 species
AGCUUUGUGCAGUGGCAGUAUAGUAGCCAAUAAGGUUUAUCCGAGGCACGAUUAUUGCUAAUGGAAAACUUUUCCCAGUACCCUGCCAUGCCGACUUGCAAUAUAGUUGGCAUUGGCAAUUUUUGACAGUCCCUAUGGGGA